UCGGCAAGACAGGGUACUAAUAUUGGCCCAUCCUGCCACACAGCCCGCCGGCUGAGAAACAAACUGAUAGAUUUGUCCAUUUGUGUGGAAAACAAACCAGGAAAAAAGAAGAGAAAACAAGAGAACAUUAAAUGAAAGUGCUGCAACGACGGAAGAGAAGAGUACCCCGACUGCGCGAGGAUAGAGCAACCCAAGAGGCAGGCGAGGUGGGGACGAGGAGUGGAUGGGCGAGCGGCUGUACGCAUGAAUCCCUCCCCCUGGUCUGCGUCUGCUGCAUGUCUUACUCCGAGCGGCUGGCGAACCUUUCGACCUUGUCGUCAUUGAGAUUGAUGCCGACCAUGGCCUCUCCCAGCCCGCUGCUGACGUCCGCCAGGAUCUCCGGGUCGCUGUAGUGGGUGACUGCCUGGACAAUUGCGCGCGCGCGCUUGGAGGGGUCACCGCUCUUGAAGAUGCCGGAGCCGACGAAGACCCCGUCGCAUCCCAGCUGCAUCAUCAGGGCGGCAUCGGCUGGGGUGGCGACCCCGCCCGCCGCGAAGUGAACGACGGGCAGGCGCCCCAGCUGCUUGGUCUGCAUGACCAGGUCAUAGGGAGCGGCUAUGCUCUUAGCGAAGGUGAAAACCUCGUCAUCAUCCAUGUUGCGGAGUACGCGGAUGUUGCCCAUCACAGAGCGGACGUGGCGGACAGCCUCGAUGAUGUUUCCAGUCCCGGCCUCGCCCUUGGUACGGAUCAUGGCGGCCCCCUCGCGGAUACGGCGGAGGGCUUCGCCGAGAUCACGACAGCCGCAGACGAAGGGGAUGCGGAAGUUGUGCUUGUUGAUGUGGUUGGCGUCGUCGGCGGGGGUGAGCACCUCGCUCUCAUCGACGUAGUCCACGCCGAUGGCCUCCAGGAUCUGGGCCUCGACGAAGUGACCGAUCCGGGCCUUGGCCAUGACCGGGAUGGUGACGGCGCGCUUGAUCUCCUUGAUGAGCCCCGGAUCGCUCAUGCGGGCGACGCCGCCCUGAGCGCGGAUGUCGGCGGGGACGCGCUCCAGGGCCAUGACGGCGCAGGCUCCGGCCUCCUCGGCGAUACGGGCCUGCUCGGGGGUGACGACGUCCAUGAUGACCCCGCCGCGGAGCAUCUGGGCGAGACCCACCUUCACAGAGAAGGUGCUCUUCUUGGUCGUCUCGGCGAUGGCGGCGCCAUUCCCGUACAAGGUGACCACCCCGCUGCCGUCGCCCGACAUCUUUCCUUCGCUGGCGCUCGGCGGGCUCAGCAGCUAAUCGAGAGCAAGACCUUCGCUGCGGGGGGAGGGGAGUGUUGGAAAGAUGGCGGCGAGAGGAGGAGGAGGGUGGGGAAGGUUCGGGAAGCGUCUCGUCUCGCAAGAAGGGGAGGAGGCACGGGGCUUCGGAUGGGAACGGUGUGACGUCAAUAUAUAUCCCGGAGGCGCGGGGCGAUGUGGGCCGGCGAGUGAAUGGUCGUAAACUGACCACUUGGUCGCUCCGGGCGGCUCCGGCCUGCGACGAGCCCCGCGCGGGGAAAUCUGAUCACCUCGAAUACUAUAAUAUUAUCUGCGUAGAUUUUUAAAACGAAGCGAAGCGAAGCCCAUUCGUUGCUUUUCAGGCUGCGCUCCCCGCUCUUUUUUUGUCAGUACGCCGGCGCCGCUGCCUUCCCCACGUUUCUUUUCCGACGAUCUCCGCCCAUUUUCGGUUUUUCUGCGACGAACCCGGUAGAGGUUGACCCUCUUUCUCCGCCGUGCGGCGGAGCAGACCGCCUCACGCUUAUCCAAUCCUCCGCCGUCCACAUGCUCCCCUCGUUAUCUUCUUGCGCGUCUGCUGCGCCAUAU
rnacentral:lncRNA from 1 species